GGGGGGUAACCCCUGGUAGCGAGUGGCGAACGGGGAGUAAUAUAUCGGAACAUGCCCUGUAGCGGGGGAUAACGCGUCGAAAGAUGUGCUAAUACCGCAUACGCUCUACGGAGGAAAGCGGGGGUCGCAAGACCUCGCACUAUAGGAGUGGCCGAUAUCGGAUUAGCUAGUUGGCGGGGUAAAAGCCCACCAAGGCAACGAUCCGUAGCUGGUCUGAGAGGAUGAUCAGCCACACUGGAACUGAGACACGGUCCAGACUCCUACGGGAGGCAGCAGUGGGGAAUUUUGGACAAUGGGCGCAAGCCUGAUCCAGCCAUGCCGCGUGAGUGAAGAAGGCCUUCGGGUUGUAAAGCUCUUUCGGCAGGAACGAAAUGGUUCGUGUUAAUACCACGGACUGAUGACGGUACCUGAAGAAGAAGCACCGGCUAACUACGUGCCAGCAGCCGCGGUAAUACGUAGGGUGCAGGCGUUAAUCGGAAUUACUGGGCGUAAAGCGUGCGCAGGCGGUUUCUUAAGUCAGAUGUGAAAGCCCCGGGCUUAACCUGGGAACUGCGUUUGAAACUGGGAGACUUGAGUGUGGCAGAGGGGGGUGGAAUUCCACGUGUAGCAGUGAAAUGCGUAGAUAUGUGGAGGAACACCAAUGGCGAAGGCAGCCCCCUGGGUCAACACUGACGCUCAUGCACGAAAGCGUGGGGAGCAAACAGGAUUAGAUACCCUGGUAGUCCACGCCCUAAACGAUGUCAACUGGUUGUUGGGGGAUUAACUCCCUUAGUAACGAAGCUAACGCGUGAAGUUGACCGCCUGGGGAGUACGGCCGC
rnacentral:rRNA from 1 species